rnacentral:tRNA from 1 species
GUGGAUCAGUGGUAGAGCACUUGCCUAGCAUGUGUGAGGCCCUGGGUUCAAUCCUCAGUACCACA